rnacentral:rRNA from 1 species
UACAGAGGUCUCAAGCGUUGUUCGGAUUCAUUGGGCGUAAAGGGUGUGUAGGUGGCGCGCUAAGUCGGGUGUGAAAUUUCGGAGCUUAACUCCGAAACUGCAUUCGAUACUGGCGUGCUUGAGGACUGGAGAGGAGACUGGAAUUCAUGGUGUAGCAGUGAAAUGCGUAGAGAUCAUGAGGAAGACCAGUGGCGAAGGCGGGUUGCUGGGCCGACACUGACGCUGAGGCGCGAAAGCCAGGGGAGCGAACGGG